rnacentral:lncRNA from 1 species
CAGGCAUAAAACCUAUGUCUUUCUCCACUGGAAUGUAUACUCCAAGAAGGCAGAGACUUCAUUUUGUUCACCAGUGCAUCAUCAGCAUAUAUACAUGCGCCUGGCACAUAGCAGGCAAUCAAUAAAUAUGGCAAGAAAGAAUACCUGACACUGAGGCAGAAGUACGGAAAAUUGUUGCAUCUCCCUCCCUGAACUCCCAGUAAGCAUAUUCUGAAUUAAGUCGCUGAGACUGAGCAUCUCCAUUCAAGGACCUGUGUGCUUAUCACCGUGCAAAGUAUGGCAAGAGGAAAUAAGGUUGCUCUGUGUCCAUGAGUCCUCAUCUACCUGAAGUGUAAGAAGUCACAUCCCUGCCCAGCCAAGCUGACCUGAGUGCAUCAAGUGAGAAGAGAGACCUCCCAGGAGAGCUGGUGGGUCACCCUACAAUGCCCCACUGGCCACUGCUAUACCAGGCACUGCAGUUACUGCAGUGUGACGAGCAGGGAGGAAAGAGCACUACGACGAGACCCACAGAGUCUACUUUAUCUUCCUUCAGCAACACAGGUAAAAGCGAUUGUAAUAGUUCUCCUAAAUCUCAAACACAGUUGACAAAAUCUCUGAUGUUUCCAUUAAAAAUCUUCAACGACAAAAGAGCUCUACCACAUCAAACUACCCAGCAUCUAUUAAAAUGAGAGUAUUCUGGCUGGGCAUGGUAGCUCACGCCUGCUGUUAUCCUAACACUUUGGGAGGCCAAGGCAGGCAGAUUGCCUGAGCUCAGGAGUUUAAGACCAGCCUGGGCGACAGAGCGAGAUUCUGUCUCCAAAAAAAUAAAAUAAAAUAAAAAUAAGGCUGGGCAGCCGGGCACAGUGGCUCACGCCUGUAAUCCCAGAAUUUUGGGAGGCCAAGGCAGGCGGAUCACUUCAGGUCAGGAGUUCGAGACCAGCCUGGCCAACAUGGUGAAACCUCGUCUCUACUUGAAAAAAAAUAAAAAUAAAAAUAAGGCUGGGCACAGUGUCUCACGCCUGUAAUCCCAGCAGCACUUUGGGAGGCCAAGGCAGGUAGAUCACCUGAGAUCAGGAGUUCGAGACCAGACUGACCAACAUAGUGAAACCCCAUCUUUACUAAAAAUACAAAAUUAGCUGGACGUGGUGGUGCAUGCCUGUAAUCCCAGCUACUUGGGAGGUUGAGGCAGGAGAAUCAUUUGAACCCGGGAAGCGGAGGUUGCAGUAAGCUGAGAUCCUGCCAUGGCACUCCAGCUUGGGCAACAAGAGCAAAACUCUCCAAAUAAAAAAAUAAAUAAAUAAAUAAAAUAAAAUUAAAAAAAUAAUAAUGAAUAAAGUGAGAGUAUCC